rnacentral:ncRNA from 2 species
ACUAUAUCUUGUGUUCGAGGUUCUUUCGAUUCGAAGAUCGAAAGCUAAGACGGGAAUCCGGUGCGCGGCGUCCAUGAUGGGCGUGCAAGACCGGGGCUGCCCCCGCAACUGUGAGCGGCGAGCAUUCACCCGACGAUGCCACUGGGGCCGAAAGGCCUCGGGAAGGCAGGGUGGACGCGGUGACCCGCAAGCCAGGAGACCUGCCUCGCAACAAGAACGUCC